CUACAAUGGAGAGUUUGAUCCUGGCUCAGGAUGAACGCUGGCUACAGGCUUAACACAUGCAAGUCGAGGG
rnacentral:rRNA from 1 species